GAUGCACUUCCUUCCCUUUCAGGAAGAGAGCACAGGGAGUUAAGGAAAAGAUGCCAAGAGCCAUAGCUUUUUUUUUGGACUGAUGUGAACCUACUGAGCAGGGUUAGAGGACAUGGUAAAGUGUCUGGAGCUCAGUCUAUGCUAAUGUCCCUACUGCUGCUGUUGUUUGGAGGAAACAACUGGAGACGAAUUACUGGUCUUAACUUCCUAAUUAAGGAAGAGCUGCAGGGAAUACAUCAUGGGCAGUAGGAAAAAGACUGAAGAAAAA